rnacentral:SRP_RNA from 11 species
GGCCGGAAGGAAGCAGCCCACAACGAAG